CAUCAAAAUAAAUAAUUUUGAUGAAUCAAUAUUAUUCCCUUCGAAGUCGUAUUUGAAAAUUAGAGCAGUUUCUGGUAGAAAAGUUGCUAACGACAGAAAAUAAAAAUAAAAACAAAGUACACACAAUAAAGUCAAUACAAUAUCAAAUUUUGUGAGCAAAACUGAAAAACAAUACAUUGUUUAUUUUGAAGAGCUCAAGUACUUCUCCAAACGAGCCGGAAUACUCUUUGUCCAUCUCUAUAGACUGUAG